rnacentral:lncRNA from 1 species
GUCUUUUCUAAUAAUACAGGCCUGUGGAACACAAAGGGAAAAUGUGUUGGCGGAAUACUGACUGGUUGCUAUAGGUUGCAUUUCUGUAAAUAUUGACAAUGCAAUUUCUCAUAGGAACUCCUUUUACGGCUAAAACUGUACCACUUUUACUAUGAAGUUUUGAAAAAAAUCUUAUCCUAGAAUUGAAAGUUCAUUUGCACCACAAUUUUUUUUCAAAGGUCAAAAUAUAGGGCUGUGCGGCAUAUUUUCAACGUUUAUAUGCCCUGAACUUCUCAGAGUUUAAACUUACACUAAUUUUCUUAACUACCCC